rnacentral:rRNA from 1 species
AUACGUAGGGGGCGAGCGUUGUCCGGAAUGAUUGGGCGUAAAGGGCGCGUAGGCGGCCCGGUAAGUCUGGAGUGAAAGUCCUGUUUUUAAGAUGGGAAUUGCUUUGGAUACUGUCGGGCUUGAGUGCAGGAGAGGUAAGUGGAAUUCCCAGUGUAGCGGUGAAAUGCGUAGAGAUUGGGAGGAACAGCAGUGGCGAAGGCGACUUACUGGACUGUAACUGACGCUGAGGCGCGAAAGUGUGGGGAGCAAACAGGAUUAGAUACCCUGGUAGUCCACACUGUAAACGAUGAAUGCUAGGUGUAGGGGGUAUCGACCCCUUCUGUGCCGCAGUCAACACAAUAAGCACUCCGCCUGGGGAGUACGGCCGCAAGGUUGAAACUCAAAUGAAUUGACGGGG